AUAUCUAACACAUACCCAAUCCAUCUAUCAACAAAAGGAAUUGAAUACAAAGGUUACCUUGGUCGGUUAUACUUAUUUCCAUCGUCUUCAUCAUGGUUAUCAACAUGUUCAUCAUCGACAUCCAACUCUUCAUAUCAUCAUGAAUAACACCAUGGUUUCCUCUCCAUCACUUCAUAAUCAUAUGUUCUACUGUUUCUCCAAAACUCUCAUCUCCUCUUCCUCUCAAAUCCUUCAUAUCAUCAGCUGUACUUCAUAACCAUUGUUUUGUUGGUUGAUUUCAGGUUGAUCUCAACAACUUAAGUUGCAGUUCAGAUUUUCAUCUUGUACAGGGUCUGGAACUAAUUUACUCAGAAAUAUUCAGGGAGUUCUUUCUUCAUUUUAGUGAUUUUCUCUUAAAUGGCAGAAGGAUCUUCUUCAAUUUUCAGAGAUGGAGAUGGAAGAAUAGUUCAUACUGCAGAUGACGAGGUAGAAGCUGCUCCAGAGGCUAGUAAGAAGCAUAGCUCCGUAGAUGCUGGGGAUGCAAAUGGUCAGAUCUCAGUUUGGGUUGCAGAUAGAGAAUGAGUAUGACCAUAGGAAUGGGAAAUUGGAGCUUCUGGUAAAGAAAAUGGGCUUCAAUGGCUGUAGGACUUGGCACUGGCGUCCUAUGGGUUAUGUGCAAACACGAAGAUGUUCCUGAUCACAUUGUUAAAAGAAUACAAGAUCAGAAGAUGGCAUUAAGAACUUCUGGAAGAUUCAUCUCCUGGCGGCUCGUUGGUGGAACCAGAAACUUCAGCGGCAACCUAUGUGUAUUGAAGAUGUUGGAGUUAAGUUCAAGAAUAUGAAUCUUCAAAUUCUGUAUAGAAGGAUUUAGCAGAAGGAUUUGGGCGCCAAGAAAUUCCAGUUUGAGCAUAGUGAAAAAUUUGUAUACAGUUUCUGUUUUACCCUUGAUGUCUAUUGUUAGUGGUUCAGUUAUCAUUCAAUUUCGAAAGGCACUCACUAAUUCAUUUCUAUUAUCCUUCUUAUCCUUAUUUUCUUUGUAUCUUCCUUUUAGAAAUCUUAUGUUACUAUUAGGUAAAUAAAAAAAAACUGUUUGAGUUCUGUCAUAUCCUUGGGCACAUUCAUUUAAUUGGUGUCAUGUUUUAUUCACUUUUUGAAGCUGGGAUGAUGUAUGCACGAAAAUAGUUCUUUUUAGUAACCCCCAAUUUUUUAAAUUUUUGUUAUCAUUUCUGCCAUUCAAGUCACUAGCUAGUAAACUCGUGAUCGCAAUUAGGAGAGUCUCAAUCGCGUAGGAAGAUUUAGUUUGUGUGGCAGGAGUUCAUGGUUCCGAGUUCGGGCUGUUGUUAAAUCAACUUUUCUGAAAUCAUCCAAGUUAUCUGGAUCAAUUUCUCCAAGCUUUCAGGUGGUAAACAUCUUUUAUUCUGCGUUUUCAUAUGUUUUAGUUUGUGGUUAUAUUGAAUAAAUAGUCCCAGUUGUGGAACUUUACAAAAAGGAGUAAGCAUGAAUGAUGGUGGAUUACAAGAAGUUUGAUUUUUUCUUUUUAAUUAGCCACAUGGGGGCUGUUUGUUGCUGAUGUUGUUUAUUGUGUGAACAUGAAGGUUGGAACAACUGUUGUUACCCGGGCUGAUGGAAGAUUAGCAUUAGGUACUCGAGAAAGGCGUGGUUUACCUGAUGGAACUGGAUUGGCAUAUCACAUGAAUGGUAAAGGUCAUGUCUGUUUGUACAUCCAGCAUCCAGAUGGUUAUGCAACGUCAUUCUGUAGUUCUCAUUUCAUGAUGAACUGAAUUACAAAAAAGUACUAUUAGGUGAUUACUUUUCCUGGCUUUUUUUAAUUUAUUGAGAUAUUGUCUUUGCAGGUCAAGAAAUUUAUAGAAAAAAGCCUAAUGUAAAUGAUAAACUCGUUUUCUCCAACACCAAUACUGCACGACAAGUGCUUGAUAAAAAGCUUGAAAGAAAACAAAAUUGGGUAACCGUUUUCUAUUGCUUUCUUGGUAUACUUCAGAAUUAUUAACUUGAAUUGUGUAACCUGGAUGGUUUCUGUGGUAUCUUCUAUUAUUGGUUCGUGGUUUGAAAACUAACUUGAAUGGCUCGGAAACAUAGUUUGGUUUUUGUUGUCGACAACUUAGUUAUCAUUUUGAAGUCUCGAAUUAUAUCCCAGCGUCAUAGGCUUAGCUCAUGGAGGCAUUUAGAUUGUUCUUUAUUAACUUAGUUAUGAUUUUCUGCAAAACGCCGACCUGUUUGCAGGUGCUGAUGGCAACAUCACAGAAGAACAACUUCGUUAGGUAGUUUUUUUUUUAGACUUGUUUUUGUGCAGUUCACAACUUGACACAACUUUUUGAAAAGGUGUUUGAACCCUUCGACGCCGUGGAGCUGCUGCAAUUGCCUCUUGACCAGGAGACUGGAUAGUUCAAAGGGUUUAGUUUUGUCCAGUUUGCACGUCUUGAAGAUGUUAGAGCCGCUCAGAUUUUGAACGCGAAAUUAGACAUUACAGGGACGAUCAUCAAGGUGGGCAACUGCCUAAUUCCCUUUUCUUUUCUGUUUGAUAAGUAAUAGGAUAAAUCGUCAAAGAUAGAAGACUUGACCCUAAUGAACUUAAUUGGAGGUAGAGUACCUUUUUCUUUUCUCGAAAAUGUUUACUUCUUUGUCUAACAUGUUACCAUAUAAUAUAUUUGUAGCUGUGAAUGAAUGUUAGUGUUCCUACAUGUUACCCUUGAAUUGACCAAAGAUAAUUCUGAACUCUUGAUACAUGGCUAAUUAUUUGCACUUGAUAAGUUAGUUUCUUUUCAGGUACAGUCUUUGAAUGCCCACCCUAGAGUCAUUCUCAUGCAGAAGUUAGAUCGAAGUGGCACCAUAUCAUGCCUUGUUCCUGAUGUAAAUGGAGCUUCCCUUGCUCUACCAGCAACAUCAAGAACCGAUGAAACACCAAGAACAAUCAUAAUACACUGGAGGUUUCAAGAAAAAUUUAUACCAUCAGUGGAGCUAUCCUUGGCGUUGCAUUGGAACUAUAUCAUAAUUUCACGUGGUUGUUUGAGCUAUUCAGAGUGUUUGAAUGUUUGAUCGUUUUGUAAUCGAAUCCUAAAACUACAGAGUACACUGGCCAGAACUACAUAUUUUAAUCCUUUGUAUAAUUUGAAACCAUUGAAUCAAAGAAUGUUAAAUUGAAUGAUUAUU